rnacentral:rRNA from 1 species
GACGAACUCUGGCGGCAUGCCUAAUACAUGCAGGUCGAACGCAGUUGCGAACGCGUGAGUAACGCGUAGGUAACUGCCUCAUCGCGGGGGAUAACUAUUGGAGACGUUAGCUAAUCCCCCAUACUGUGAGAUGGACCUGCGUUGUGUUAGCUAGUUGGUGGGGUAGAGGCUCACCAAGGCGACGAUACAGAGCCGGCCUGAGAGGGUGAGCGGGCACACUGGGACUGAGACACGGCCCAGACUCCUACGGGAGGGAGGAGUAGGGAAGCUACGGGAAUGGAGGGCAGGCUGAGAGGGCCACGCCUCCGGAGUGAAGAAGGUUUGUGGACCGUAAAGCCCUGUUGGGAGAGAAGCGGUAACUAAUCAGAAAGGGACGGCAAACUACGUGCCAGCAGCCGCGGUAAUAC